GAGGGCUUGGUGGUGUAACCACGGGAGGUGUUGGUGUAGGUGGUGUAACAAUCGGUGGGGUUGGUGUAGGUGGUGUAACAAUAGGUGGUGAUGGUACAACUGGGGGUAGUGGAACAUAAGGUGGAGGGUAAACAAUUGGUGGUUUCACAAUAGGAGGUGUUGGAACAUAAGGUGGAGGGUAAACAAUUGGUGGUUUCACAAUAGGAGGUUUUGGAACAUAAGGUGGAGGGUAAACAAUGGGUGGUUUUGGCACAUAAGGUGGUGUCACCGGUACAACCGGUGGCUUAGGCACAUAUGGCGGUGUAACUGGUACAACAGGUGGUUUUGGCACAUAAGGUGGAGAAACAACUGGUGGCUUAGGAACAUAAGGUGGUGGUUUCACAACUGGUGGUUUAGGCACAUAAGGAGGUUUCACAAUUGGUGGUUUGGGAACAUGGGGUGGUUUUGGCACAUAAGGUGGUUUCACAAUUGGUGGUUUUGGAACAUGGGGUGGUUUCACAACUGGUGGUUUUGGCACAUGAGGUGGUUUAACCACUGGAGGCUUGGGAUAGUGAGGUGGUUUUGGUGAUGGCUUGGGGGGUGGACAUGGUUCCGGGCCAUGAGAUGGAGGGUACUUUGGGGGGUUAUGAACUG
rnacentral:lncRNA from 1 species